rnacentral:rRNA from 2 species
AGGUGCUGGGUGGGUCCUAUUUUCCCCUGCUAGUUGCACGAGCUUACACUCGUGGCGAAAAGCUCAGUAACACGUGGUCAAACUACCCUACAGAGAACGAUAACCUCGGGAAACUGAGGCUAAUAGUUCAUACGGGAGUCAUGCUUGAAUGCCGGCUCCCCGAAACGCUCCGGCGCUGUAGGAUGUGACUGCGGCCGAUUAGGUAGACGGUGGGGUAACGGCCCACCGUGCCGAUAAUCGGUACGGGUUGUGAGAGCAAGAACCCGGAGACGGAAUCUGAGACAAGAUUCCGGGCCCUACGGGGCGCAGCAGGCGCGAAACCUUUACACUGCACGCAAGUGCGAUAAGGGGACCCCAAGUGCGAGGGCAUAUAGUCCUCGCUUUUCUCGACUGUAAGGCGGUCGAGGAAUAAGAGCUGGGCAAGACCGGUGCCAGCCGCCGCGGUAAUACCGGCAGCUCAAGUGAUGACCGAUAUUAUUGGGCCUAAAGCGUCCGUAGCCGGCCAUGAAGGUUCAUCGGGAAAUCCGCCAGCUCAACUGGCGGGCGUCCGGUGAAAACCACAUGGCUUGGGACUGGAAGGCUCGAGGGGUACGUCCGGGGUAGGAGUGAAAUCCCGUAAUCCUGGACGGACCACCGAUGGCGAAAGCACCUCGAGAAGACGGAUCCGACGGUGAGGGACGAAAGCUAGGGUCUCGAACCGGAUUAGAUACCCGGGUAGUCCUAGCUGUAAACGAUGCUCGCUAGGUGUGGCACAGGCUACGAGCCUGUGCUGUGCCGUAGGAGCCGUGAGCGAGCCGCCUGGGAGUACGUCCGCAAGGAUGAACUUAAGGAAUG